rnacentral:rRNA from 1 species
GCACAAGCGGUGGAUCAUGUUGUUUAAUUCGAUGAUACGCGAAGAACCUUACCAGGUCUUGACAUCCCCCGCGAUGCUUUAGAGAUAAAGCGGAGGUAUUCGGGGAGACAGGUGGUGCAUGGUUGUCGUCAGCUCGUGUCGUGAGAUGUUGGGUUAAGUCCCGCAACGAGCGCAACCCCUAUUGCUAGUUACCAUCAUUAAGUUGGGGACUCUAGCGAGACUGCCAGUGAUAAACUGGAGGAAGGUGGGGAUGACGUCAAAUCAUCAUGGCCCUUACGGCCUGGGCUACACACGUGCUACAAUGGUCGGUACAAAGGGUUGCCAAGCCGCGAGGUGGAGCUAAUCCCAUAAAACCGAUCGUAGUCCGGAUCGCAGUCUGCAACUCGACUGCGUGAAGUCGGAAUCGCUAGUAAUCGUGAAUCAGAAUGUCACGGUGAAUACGUUCCCGGGCCUU